UCGCCCAUGUUUUUCCCUCUUCUCCGUUCGGCAUCCCUUUCGGGCGACCGUAAAUAGCAGCAUCUGCUUGAUGCGAGCGAUCCCCGUAUCGCCUUCUCUUCGGUCCUCUCGUCAAAUUUGGCAAAGCAAAGCAAGAAGAGUGGAGAAGCCCCCAAUCCAAUCCAACCCAACCCUGGGUUUGGGGAUCGUUUCUUCCCCAAAUUCCUGCCCGAUCGACGCCCUAGGGUUUCCCCAGUUCUCAUGAGUUUCCCCUUCCCCCGCCCAUGGCCGCCGCGUGUUUCGUCGUCGUCCUUGUCUUCCUCCUCCUCAUCUUCCCUGAUAUCGACAACCCUCGGCUGGCGUCCGCUCUUGAUGCGACGGUGGCGGACGACGACGGGCCGUAUCGCAGUGAGCAGUUCUCGAUCCUGAGCUAUGAAUCCUUGUGGCACGACUACUCCCCGCCCGCCCCGCCGCCAUCGCCCCCUGACCCGCCUUCGUCUUCCUGCGAGGGCGACCUUGGCGGCACCGGCGACUUCAAUACCCUCUGCGAGCUCCACACCAGUGUGCAGCUGUCCAGCGACUUCUUUGCCAAGGCGCACGGCAGCUUCGUUCUCUACCCCGACGUGGUGCUCAGUUGUUCCGUCGCCGGGUGCUCCAUCGUCGUCAAUCUUACGGGGGAGAUCCGGAUCGGGCGGAAUGCCAAGAUUGCGGCUGGGACUGUCCGCAUGCAGGCGGGCAACAUGAGCCUCGCCGAGGGUGCGGCGAUUGAUACGGUAGCGCUGGCGGGGGAUCCGCCUCCCCAGACCAGUGGGGUUCCCACGGGGACUAAUGGGGAUGGCGGUGGGCAUGGUGGGAGAGGCGCUAGCUGCGUGGUGAAAGAGGGGCAGACACAGGAGGACUCCUGGGGAGGGGAUGCAUAUUCCUGGUCCACGCUGAUGAAACCUGACAACUACGGCAGCAAGGGCAGCUCGACGAGCUCGGAGAGGGAUUAUGGAGGGGGAGGGGGUGGACGGGUUUACUUGGUGGUCAAUGAUGUGAUUGAGGUUAACGGUAGUAUUACAGCGGAUGGUGGUGAGGGUGGCUCUCUAGGUGGUGGAGGUUCAGGUGGGAGCAUCUUCAUCAGUGCGGCUAAAAUGAAGGGCACUGGCAAAAUAAGUGCUUCUGGUGGUAGUGGUUUGGCUGGUGGCGGAGGAGGACGUGUUUCUAUUGCAGUUUUUAGCUGGCAUGAUGAUCCACAUGCUUUUGUUCACGGUGGAAGGAGUUUUGGUUGCCCUGAAAAUGCUGGAGCUGCAGGGACUCUUUAUGAUGCUGUUCCCAAGAGCCUUAUAGUUAGCAACCAUAACUUGUCAACACAGACUGAUACACUUUUACUAGAGUUCCCUUAUCAGCCACUUUGGACUAAUGUUUUCAUUACAAAUUGUGCCAAAGUUGCUGUUCCUUUACUUUGGAGUCGCGUACAGGUUCAAGGACAACUUAGCCUUCUUUCUGGUGGUAUGUUGGCAUUUGGUCUGACUCGUUACCCUUACUCCGAGUUUGAGCUUAUGGCUGAAGAACUUUUGAUGAGUGACUCAAUAAUUAAGGUGUUUGGGGCUUUACGAAUGUCUGUGAAGAUGCUUUUGAUGUGGAAUUCGAAAAUGUUCAUUAAUGGUGGUGGGGAUGCAUUAGUUGCAACCUCAUUACUUGAGGCGAGUAAUUUGAUUGUUCUGAAGGAAUCUUCCAUGAUACAUUCUAAUGCCAAUCUUGGAGUUCAUGGUCAAGGCCUGCUUAAUUUAUCUGGACCUGGAGAUCUAAUUGAGGCACAACGUCUGAUAUUGUCACUCUUUUACAGCAUCCAUGUUGGACGUGGUUCUGUUUUGAGGGGUCCACUAAUAAAUGUGUCCGGUGAUGACAUGGCCCCUAGGCUGAAUUGUGAGGAAAAAGAUUGUCCUUUGGAAUUGAUUCAUCCACCAGAAGAUUGCAAUGUUAAUUCUUCAUUAUCUUUCACCCUUCAGAUUUGUCGUGUUGAAGAUAUUGAUGUUGCUGGACUUGUUCAAGGAACUGUUGUUCAUUUCCAUAGGGCAUGAAGUGUAGUUGUGUCUCCUACUGGAAGAAUUAGUGCAACUGGUUUGGGCUGCAAAGGUGGUGUUGGGCAGGGAAAUAUAUUAGGCAAUGGUCUAGGUGGUGGUGGUGGACACGGUGGGAGGGGUGGAGAUGGCCGUUAUGGUGGAAGCAUUGUCAAGGGUGGCAUUGCUUAUGGAAAUGCUGAAUUGCCAUGUGAGCUUGGUAGUGGUAGUGGUAAUGACACUGUACCAUCCUCGACUGGUGGUGGUGGUAUCAUAGUGAUAGGGUCGAUGGAGCAUCCAUUGGUUAGUUUGUCUGUUUAUGGCUCAGUUGAAGCAGAUGGUGAAGACUUCAUGGAAGCUGGUGUCACUAUUGGCUCACCUGAUGGAGGGCCUGGUGGUGGUUCUGGUGGUACUAUUCUUCUAUUUUUGCAUUCUUUGACCCUCAGUGAUUCUUCUAUCCUUUCAAGUGUUGGUGGGCAUGGCAGUCAAAGUGGUGGUGGAGGAGGUGGUGGUGGAAGGAUUCACUUCCAUUGGUCUGACAUUUCUACAGGGGAUGAAUAUCUUCCAGUUGCAACUGUGAAGGGAACCAUAAACACAAGGGGUGGCAUCAGCAAAGGCCAUGGUUUGGCAGGGGAAAAUGGAACACUUACUGGAAAAGCAUGCCCCAAAGGCCUGUAUGGAAUUUUUUGCGAGGAAUGCCCUCUGGGUACAUUCAAGAAUGUUACUGGAUCAGAUGAAACUCUAUGUUUCCAAUGCCCUUCUAAUGAACUUCCUCAUCGUGCUGUAUACACAAGUGUUCGAGGAGGUGUCGCUGAAACCCCUUGUCCAUACAAAUGUAUUUCUGAAAGAUAUCAUAUGCCACACUGUUACACAGCUCUUGAGGAGUUGAUAAACACUUUUGGUGGACCAUGGUUGUUUGGUCUUCUUCUUUCUAGCCUUCUUGUCUUGUUAGCCCUAGUUCUAAGUGUUGCACGGAUGAAAUUUGUUGGUACGGAUGAGUUACCUGGCCCUGCUCCAACUCAACAUGGGUCUCAAAUUGAUCAUUCAUUUCCCUUUCUGGAGUCAUUAAACGAGGUUUUGGAAACAAACAGGGUUGAGGAGUCACAAAGCCAUGUUCAUAGAAUGUACUUCAUGGGCCCGAACACCUUUAGUGAACCUUGGCAUCUUCCACACUCUCCCCCUGAACAAAUUACAGACAUAGUAUAUGAGGAUGCAUACAAUAGAUUUGUUGAUGAGAUAAAUGCCCUUGCUGCUUAUCAGUGGUGGGAAGGUGCAAUCUACAGCAUUCUAUGUAUACUUGCCUAUCCACUUGCCUGGUCAUGGCAGCAGUGGCGGCGUAGAAAAAAGUUACAAAGACUGCGUGAAUUUGUUCGAUCAGAGUAUGAUCAUGCAUGCCUUCGUUCUUGCCGCUCACGUGCACUUUAUGAAGGGCUUAAGGUGGCUGCAACUCCAGAUCUGAUGCUUGGGUAUUUGGACUUUUUUCUUGGUGGUGAUGAAAAGAGGCCAGACCUUCCGCCUCGUCUCCAUCAAAGAUUUCCCAUGUGUCUAGUCUUUGGAGGUGAUGGAAGUUACAUGGCUCCUUUUUCCCUCCACAGUGACAAUGUCCUGACUAGUCUUAUGAGCCAGGCUGUGCCACCAACAAUAUGGUACAGGCUGGUAGCUGGAUUGAAUGCACAGUUGCGCCUAGUUCGUCAUGGGCACCUUAAAGUGACAUUCAUGCCUGUCCUCAGCUGGCUUGAAACUCAUGCAAAUCCUUCUCUGAGACAGCGUGGUAUUUGCAUUGAUCUGGCCUGGUUUCAAGCUACUACAUUGGGCUACUGUCAACUUGGUCUUGUUGUUUAUGCUGUGCAAGGAGAGACGGAGACUAAUGCAAUUGAUGGUGGUUGUAGAACUUUGAAGGUCAAUCAGAUUUUGCGAGUUCAUAGCCCUCACAGGAACACAAAAGCUGGUAGUCUGAGGAAUAAAGAAGCUGUUACACAUAAAAGGAUAAGCGGAGGGGUUUUAGACAGUUACAGCCUGAGAAUGCUUGCGGAGAAAAAGGACUUAUUUUACCCUUUCUCUCUCAUUGUGCAUAAUACUAGACCUGUUGGGCAUCAGGAUCUUGUUGGUCUGGUCAUAUCAAUAUUGCUCUUGGCAGAUUUCAGCUUAGUGCUGCUUACACUGCUCCAGUUAUAUUCGUUUUCCAUGGCAGAUGUCUUCUUAGUUUUGUUCGUUCUUCCUCUUGGUAUACUUUCACCAUUCCCUGCUGGAAUCAAUGCUCUUUUUAGUCACGGACCUCGACGUUCAGCAGGCCUUGCACGUGUAUAUGCUUUAUGGAACAUUACAUCUUUGAUUAAUGUCAUUGUGGCCUUCAUUUGUGGCUUUGUACAUUACAAGUCUUCAAGUCAAAAACAUCAAAACCUACAACCAUGGAAUUUGGGCACGGAUGAGAGUGGAUGGUGGUUGUUUCCAGUUGGCCUGGUUCUGUGUAAAUGUAUCCAAGCAAGACUUGUUGAUUGGCAUGUUGCAAAUUUAGAGAUUCAAGACCGUUCAUUGUAUAGCAAUGACCCAACCCUUUUCUGGCAAUCAUGACAUUUUGAGUGGUUAGCAUUACCAAAAUCAAAGAACUCGAUUUUUUGGAGUUACAAUGUGAGGGUAAGAGGAAGAAAACAAGUUUUUUUCUUUUUUUUCUUUUUUUCCUCUGCAUCAAGCCCUAUUUAGCAUUCUUGAUGCAGGCUAAGCAUCCCUCACAGAUAUUGUGCAGCCACAGUUUUCACUUUGUAAAUAUAAUUAUGUACGCCAUUCUUUGUAGACAAUCAACUUGUAUUGACCUAUAAAUUGACCCUCUUCUAACGAGUAGGAAGUUUGAUAUCUGUAA